UGAGCAACAAAAUGGAUCCCAAUGAGCUUGUAAAGCUUGUCGAGAUCCUGAAUCCCAACAACAAACCUGGAAGAAUCACUGUGAUUGUGAGAAUGGGUGCAGAGAACAUGAGAGUUAAGCUUCCUCACCUGAUCAGAGCAGUGAGGAGGUCAGGCCAGAUUGUGACAUGGGUCUGCGAUCCAAUGCAUGGAAACACCAUCAAAGCACCUUGCGGUCUCAAAACAAGAGCCUUUGACUCUAUCCUGGUACACACUUGAUAAGCCAAACCUUCCAUCAGCAUAACAUAUAUAUACUUAGUUUUUGCAUAUAGUUAUAGUUGUUUUUUUUUAAAACAGGCUGAAGUGAGAGCCUUCCUUGAUGUGCACGAGCAAGAAGGAAGCCACGCGGGAGGUAUCCAUCUAGAGAUGACAGGACAGAACGUGACAGAGUGCAUUGGAGGGUCCCGUACUGUGACAUACGAUGACUUAAGCUCACGCUACCACACACACUGUGACCCGAGGCUCAACGCUUCUCAGUCUCUUGAACUAGCCUUCAUUGUUGCUGAACGGCUGAGGAAGAGAAGAACCGCUACUCAGCGUCUCUCUUAAGUUGCCAUCUUCUUUUCUCUCUUUUGUUUUUGUGAGUUUGGUGUCUUUAUGACCUGCCUCUUUAGGAGGAGUAAACCUUGCUUGAACCUUGUUACGUUUUGCUCUCUGCCCAGACAAUCUCACGUCUUUGUUGUUUCAAUUUAAUGUUAAAACUGUAUGAAUGCUACUACUGUAAACUCCUCCUUAUUACAUAUAUAUAUAUACAGUAUCUACCAACUUGGAAAACUCGAAGGCGUGGGGAGAGGGCGCGCGCGGGGAGCGUGCGCGAGGGAGUGGGAGAGGACGCGAGAGAGAGAGAGGAGGAAAGAGGGUGAGGAGGGAGGGAGAGAGGAGGAGACCUGAGGGCACGACACGCGGGAAGAGAUGGCACGCGCGGCUGGAGAGGGUGCACGACGGGAGAGGGACGGGAGAGGGACGGGAGAGCGGCGAGAGGGGGCCUCGGCUGGGAGAGAGGGAGCGCGGCGGAAGAGGGGAGGGAGGGGGGCUCGGCAGGAGAGAUGGGAGGGAGGGGGGUUCGAUGUAAACAAUUUUCCAGCUAUAUAGCCUAAUGAUUAUAAAACUGCUUUUGGAUAUAAUGUGAAAAGUCAUCGAAUAUAAGUUUAGAUGUCUUGCUAAUUUUUACUUGUAGUUAGAGAUAUUAUAUUUCUUUUUUUUCGCAUUUAUCUUCGCUUAGUUUCUAAUUAAUCUUUUACAUAAUUCUCUUUAUUUAUUCACUUUUUUGGAGAAAAUUUUGUAUUGUAUAACUGAUUAUGGAAAUUAAAGGGUAGUUGUACAAUAUGAAACCUCAUCAAAAGAGGUUUUCUGUCAAUUUUUAUUGAUCGUUAGAGUUACUAUAUAUAUAUAUUUUUUUUACAUUUAUCGUCAUCUAGUUUUAUAAUGGAUCUACUAAUACUAAAAUUUUCUCUCUCUUUUCAGUUUUUUUUUUCUAUCUAAAAAUUUAAGAUAAAAAAAAUUCUUAAAUAGUAACUGGAAAUAAUUAUUUAAUGAUAACUAGAGAUAAUUAAUUGAUAGUAAUUUUGUUUUCUGUUUUUUUAAUCCUAAACAAAAGAUAAUAAUUCUAUGUAUUAUGUAAUAGUAAUUUUUCUUUUCUAAAAUUCUGAACAAAUUUUUUUUUGAAAUAAUUUAUUUGAAGUAAUUUUUAAAAGAAAUAUUAAAUUUCCAUUUUUAAUCCAAUUGAAAAAGAAAACUCUACAAAAAUAGUAAUUAAAAUAAAUCUUAAAAAAAAUAAAAUAUAAAAUACUAAAAUAUUAAAUAUUAAGCCGUCGACAUUUAUAUGACUAUACAUUUCGGUUUGAAUAAAAAAUGUUGGUGUUGCAAGAUGUGCCAAAUUUUCAAAAAGAGUGUGUGUGGUCCAUGGAUCCAUAUCUUGUAAAGGAUUCGGCGGUGUUAGGUGAUGACUACAACAUAUACUCUUUUACAGAUAUCAUAUGCAACUUGCUUAGUGGUGGUGGAUUUGGUUGGUGAAGGGCUAUUCAUGUCAUUAACCACACAUUCUUCUCUUCCUUUAUAUUUGUCAAGUGUUUUAUUAUUUUUGUCAUUACCUAACAAGGGGAUAUUAUAAAUGUCCUAAAUUUAAUAAUUAACAAACUUAUUGAAAUAUAUUUUCAUUCGUAAAGUAUAAAAGUAUAUACUCCAUUUUGGUUCUAAAACUCACAUUCUUCAACAAAAAAAUUAGGUAAAAUUUUUAAAAUUUACAUGUAAAACGUGUAUUUAAUGGUUGUGUAAAGCUGAUGGAAAAAUAUCUCAGCUGCACUAAUAGUUACGUAAAUACCCCUCGACGGCUUCGCAUCUCACAUUUUAUAUAUUUUAGAUUUAUUACAGAUUUGUCUGCAAAACUCUGAAAAGUCAUCAAACCAACCCCUUUCCGUACCCAUCUCACUAUAAAUACCUCUCUCCUUCCACAUUUCUUCUCUCUCCUCUCAUCAAGCAGCCUCCAUUGUCAUUCUCUCUCUCUCUAAAAACAGAGAGAAAUCAAAUGGCUCUUUCCAACGCCGCCUCCUCCUCUCUCUCCACCAGAUCUCUCUACACGGGUCUCUCUCACCGCCACAGUCACAGCAACCGUCAAUCCUCCAUCCCUUUCCACCGCUCCGUCAGCCUCGUCACGGCCCUCCACGCGGCGGAUCCGUCCCGAAACGCCGCCGUUUCAGUCAAGGAAUCCGUUUCUUGUGCAUUGGAAUGGACGCCGGAGAGCUGGAAGCUGAAGAAGGCUCUGCAGCUUCCUGAUUACCCCGACGCCGGCGAGCUCGACUCCGUCCUCAAAACCAUCGAAGCCUUUCCUCCGAUCGUUUUCGCCGGAGAAGCCAGAAACUUGGAAGAGAGAUUGGCCGAUGCCGCCGUCGGCAAAGCUUUCCUCCUCCAGGGAGGAGAUUGCGCAGAGAGCUUCAAGGAGUUCAAUGCGACCAACAUCAGAGACACCUUCAGGGUUCUCCUUCAGAUGAGCAUUGUCCUCACCUUCGGAGGUCAAGUCCCUGUCAUAAAGGUUAGAUCUUUCUCUCUGUUUCUAUACUAAAGGUGAGGUUUUGAUUCGUAAAGGUGAGAUUUUUAUUGGUGUGGUUUAGGUUGGGAGAAUGGCUGGUCAAUUUGCGAAGCCUAGAUCUGACCCCUUCGAGGAGAAGGACGGUGUGAAGCUGCCUAGCUACAAGGGAGACAACAUCAACGGCGACACUUUUGAUGAGAAGUCGAGGAUUCCUGAUCCCAACAGGAUGAUUCGUGCUUACACGCAGUCUGCAGCUACUUUGAAUCUUCUCAGAGCCUUUGCCACUGGAGGUUACGCUGCUAUUCAGAGAGUUACGCAGUGGAACCUUGAUUUCGUUGAGGAAAGCGAGCAAGCUGACAGGUCUGUUGUUGAAAGAACAGAGAGAUUCCUCUGUUUUAGACUCUGAAUGGUUAUCUUGUUGUUUGUGUAGGUACCAGGAGCUGGCGAACAGGGUUGAUGAGGCGUUGGGGUUCAUGUCUGCGUGUGGACUUACCACUGAUCAUCCGCUCAUGACUACAACUGAUUUCUACACGUCUCAUGAGUGUUUGCUUCUGCCUUAUGAACAGUCUUUAACAAGGUUGGACUCAACUUCUGGUUUGUACUAUGAUUGUUCUGCGCAUAUGGUGUGGUGUGGAGAGCGCACACGGCAGUUGGAUGGUGCUCAUGUUGAAUUUCUCAGGGGGAUUGCUAAUCCUCUUGGCAUUAAGGUACUUUACUUUUAAAACUAAAGGAUUAGGUAGAUGUUAACUGGUUUGUGAUAAAAGCAAAACAGAGUAGGACAUGAAGUUUAUGUUUUGUUUAAGUGAAAUUGACUGGAGUUGCAUUGACUAUUUGAUGCAGGUGAGCAACAAAAUGGAUCCCAAUGAGCUUGUAAAGCUUGUGGAGAUCCUGAAUCCCAACAACAAACCUGGAAGAAUCACUGUGAUUGUGAGAAUGGGUGCAGAGAACAUGAGAGUUAAGCUUCCUCACCUGAUCAGAGCAGUGAGGAGGUCAGGCCAGAUUGUGACAUGGGUCUGCGAUCCAAUGCAUGGAAACACCAUCAAAGCACCUUGCGGUCUCAAAACAAGAGCCUUUGACUCUAUCCUGGUACACACUUGAUAAGCCAAACCUUCCAUCAGCAUAACAUAUAUAUACUUAGUUUUUGCAUAUAGUUAUAGUUGUUUUUUUUUAAAACAGGCUGAAGUGAGAGCCUUCCUUGAUGUGCACGAGCAAGAAGGAAGCCACGCGGGAGGUAUCCAUCUAGAGAUGACAGGACAGAACGUGACAGAGUGCAUUGGAGGGUCCCGUACUGUGACAUACGAUGACUUAAGCUCACGCUACCACACACACUGUGACCCGAGGCUCAACGCUUCUCAGUCUCUUGAACUAGCCUUCAUUGUUGCUGAACGGCUGAGGAAGAGAAGAACCGCUACUCAGCGUCUCUCUUAAGUUGCCAUCUUCUUUUCUCUCUUUUGUUUUUGUGAGUUUGGUGUCUUUAUGACCUGCCUCUUUAGGAGGAGUAAACCUUGCUUGAACCUUGUUACGUUUUGCUCUCUGCCCAGACAAUCUCACGUCUUUGUUGUUUCAAUUUAAUGUUAAAACUGUAUGAAUGCUACUACUGUAAACUCCUCCUUAUUACAUAUAUAUAUAUACAGUAUCUACCAACUUGGAACUCGUUCAGUGUGACUAACCUCGUUACUCAACAAGGCCCAUUAGCUCAGUUGGUUAGCGCGUCGUGCUAAUAACGCGAAGGUCGCAGGUUCGAAACCUAAAUCCCAACAACAAACCUGGAAGAAUCACUGUGAUUGUGAGAAUGGGUGCAGAGAACAUGAGAGUUAAGCUUCCUCACCUAAUCAGAGCAGUGCGCAGGUCAGGCCAGAUUGUGACAUGGGUCUGCGACCCAAUGCAUGGAAACACCAUCAAAGCACCUUGCGGUCUCAAAACAAGAGCCUUUGACUCUAUCCUGGUACACACUCUUCCAUCAGCAUAACAUGUGUAUAUACUUAGCUUUUGCAUGUAUUUAUAAUCUUUUUUUAAACAGGCUGAAGUGAGAGCGUUCCUU
rnacentral:lncRNA from 1 species